rnacentral:rRNA from 1 species
ACAAGCGGUGGAGCAUGUGGUUAAUUCGAAGCAACGCGAAGAACCUUACCAGGUCUUGACAUCCCGAUGCUAUUUCUAGAGAUAGAAAGUUACUUCGGUACAUCGGUGACAGGUGGUGCAUGGUUGUCGUCAGCUCGUGUCGUGAGAUGUUGGGUUAAGUCCCGCAACGAGCGCAACCCCUAUUGUUAGUUGCCAUCAUUCAGUUGGGCACUCUAGCGAGACUGCCGGUAAUAAACCGGAGGAAGGUGGGGAUGACGUCAAAUCAUCAUGCCCCUUAUGACCUGGGCUACACACGUGCUACAAUGGUUGGUACAAAGAGAUGCCAACUCGCGAGAGCGCGCCAAUCUCAGAAAGCCAUCCUCAGUUCGGAUUGGAGUCUGCAACUCGCCUACAUGAAGUCGGAAUCGCUAGUAAUCGCGGAUCAGCACGCCGCGGUGAAUACGUUCCCGGGCCUU